GUGAAAAAAUCUUAAAAACUAUAAUGAAAAUUAUACUUAUAUAUAUCAAUUAAAAUUUGAGUAAACAGAACCUUCCACUGAUCCCGAAUAGUGUAUAUGCAUCUUCAUAAAAUUUUGAAUAAAUUUUAAUAGAAAAAUUUAUAUUCUUAAUAGCUGACAUAUUUUAAACAUCAAUUACAAAUUUGCAAGAUAGGAUUUAUCAAAUACAGAUUUAAUUAAUACGAUCCAAUCAUAAGAAAAACACACAACAUUGUUAAUCUUAAUCCUUUUCCCACUGGAAGACUAAUGAAUUUGGCUCCUUCUGAAAGGGAUAAUGGAACAAUGGAAUUCUGCGGGAUGAAAAUCUAUUUAUAACCAAAGUGAUAUGAUAGCGACUUUUUAAGAGGGAAAGAUUAGUUGAGAGAGAAAAGUGGACCCGUUUGAAACAUGAAUGACUGAUCUUUUGAGAAAAAAGAACUUGACCAGGAACAUCUUACUUCAAGUGAGGAUAUAUUGAUUUAAUUUCGAUAUUAGUUGUUGUCAAACUCACCCUUUUCAACAACUGCAGGGAAGGAAAGCAAGCGAAGAGUAUGGCCAGUAGGAGCAGUAUCAAAGACAACGACAGAAAAGUCCAUCCUUUUGACGAGUUUCAUGACUUCAGCAUAGCUCAUAGCCUCAUCCACGCCAGGAAAAGCUCCAAGAACCUCUUGCAUGAUCCCUUUUGACAUUUUCCACGUCUCAUUAUUAGCAUCUUGGACUCCAUCGAAAUACUCAUCAGGCAAUUCGUUGACGCCCACAUUGGGAUCGAUCUCCAUAGCAAAGAGAUUGGUAUAACCCAAAACCAGAGAUGGAACUUUGCUGAACUUUUGAUCAAAAGCAUCGGAUAUGUUGUGAGCAGGAUCAGUGGAAAUGAUGAGAACGGUUUCACGGACUUUGGAGAGUUGAACAGCGAGGGAGCAGGAGCAAGUCGUUUUGCCCACACCUCCUUUCCCUCCGACAAAGACCCAACGAAGACUUGUUUGAUCCAAUACGUUUCGGAGGCUACCCUCAGGAAUCUCAAAUUCGUCAUCCAGCAUCUCAACAUUAGUUCUCGUCUCUGAAGCCAUCCUUUAAUCCUAUGACGUAUAUAUAUUUCCUUGAUUGUUAUUUAAUAAACUAAAAUUAUCAGUGAUUUCUUUAUUAAGUCCUUUCGUUGAAAGUAUUUUUAUUAAUUUGUUUAAUUCACGAAACAUCGUGUAGCAAAAUAAACAACAAAUGGCUUAACCUGAUUGGCUACAUAAAACACGUCAUAAAGAGGUUGCCAUUAUAUUUUGUUUUUUUUAUACUUUGCGUUGUAUUUUUUUAUUCAUCUCAUUUAGACAAAAUAACUUUUUUAUGUUUUAAUUAAUUAAUUAUUAUUUAUAAAAUAAUGUAACAGCUUUUUUAGCUGCGUUCUGAAACCUUCAUUUUUAUUGUUAUUUAAGCUGUAGAGCAAUAAAUGACGAUAAAAAUCUUCACAAAA
rnacentral:lncRNA from 1 species